GCGUCAUUAGCUCAGUUGGUAGAGCAGCAGAUUCUUAAUCUGCGGGUCCUAGGUUCGAGCCCUAGAUGACGCA
rnacentral:tRNA from 1 species